AUACGGAGGGGGCUAGCGUUGUUCGGAAUUACUGGGCGUAAAGCGCGCGUAGGCGGCUUAUCAAGUUAGGCGUGAAAGGCCUGGGCUCAACCCGGGAACUGCGCUUAAUACUGGUAGACUUGAGUCCGGGAGAGGGUGGCGGAAUUCCCAGUGUAGAGGUGAAAUUCGUAGAUAUUGGGAAGAACACCAGUGGCGAAGGCGGCCACCUGGCCCGGUACUGACGCUGAGGUGCGAAAGCGUGGGGAGCAAACAGGAUUAGAUACCCCAGUAGUCC
rnacentral:rRNA from 1 species